rnacentral:RNase_P_RNA from 1 species
GGAGUCGGCCAGGCAACCGCUGUAGCGAGGCUAUGGAGGAAAGUCCGGGCUCCUUCGGACAGGGCGCCAGGUAACGCCUGGGGGGCGCGAGCCCACGGAAAGUGCCACAGAAAAUAUACCGCCGGCUUUAGUCCGGUAAGGGUGAAAUGGUGCGGUAAGAGCGCACCGCGCGACUGGCAACAGUUCGCGGCACGGUAAACCCCGCCCGGAGCAAGACCAAAUAGGGGAGU